rnacentral:rRNA from 1 species
GGCGAACGGGUGAGGAACACGUGAGAAACCUGCCUUUCAUUCUGGGAUAACACCGGGAAACCGGUGCUAAUACCGGAUACUCCGUCUUGGCGGCAUCGCCGAGCCGGGAAUAAAUUUUGAUGAAAGAUGGUCUCGCGGCCUAUCAGCUAGUUGGUGAGGUAAUGGCUCACCAAGGCGACGACGGGUAGCCGGCCUGAGAGGGCGACCGGCCACACUGGGACUGAGACACGGCCCAGACUCCUACGGGAGGCAGCAGUAGGGAAUAUUGGGCAAUGGGCGCAAGCCUGACCCAGCGACGCCGCGUGAGGGAUGAAGGUCUUCGGAUUGUAAACCUCUUUCAGUAGGGAAGAAGCGAAAGUGACGGUACCUAAAGAAGAAGCACCGGCUAACUAUGUGCCAGCAGCCGCGGUAAUACAUAGGGUGCAAGCGUUGUCCGGAAUUAUUGGGCGUAAAGAGCUCGUAGGUCGUUUGUCGCGUCGAUUGUGAAAAUCUGAGGCUCAACCUCAGACCUGCAGUCGAUACGGGCAAACUAGAGUGUGGUAGGGGAGACUGGAAUUCCUGGUGUAGCGGUGGAAUGCGCAGAUAUCAGGAGGAACACCAAUGGCGAAGGCAGGUCUCUGGGCCAUAACUGACACUGAGGAGCGAAAGUGCGGGGAGCGAACAGGAUU